GGAAUUUAUUAAGAAUUAAUUUCUUUAAUAAUGGUACAAGGAGAAAUCUAAAAAUCGCGAUCUCGUUUGCAUAUACUUUUGACAACGAGGAAAUUACAGGAGGAUGUUCUAUAAUUUAGGGAAGCGGAACGAGCGACCCUUUCGCCACCAAUGGUCAUUCCUGCAUUCAACAGGUGGUCCAGUUUACGUGAAAUGUUGAUGAAAACCUUCGACGUGUGCCCAUCCCCCCACCAUUGCUCCUAUUGUGCGCCAAAGGCGCCAAUGAAAGUUCAGAAAAAGGAUGCUUUGAAGAAAUUACGCUGAGGAGCAAAAUUUUUUGUGAAUUAAACAUCGAUAACCUGGUAUCAACGUAUCGAAUAUCAGCUUGAUUACGAAUCACUUCAUCGACGAUUAAAGAAGCGAUUAUGUUACGAUUUUCUUCAUCAUAAAAAAGUCUGUCCAAUGUUUGAUUGAUAAUUAUUCAGAGAAUAUCAUACAAGAAAACGUUGAAUAGUAUUGAAGACUCGCUGAAAUCAACUGGCUGCUCGAGAUCGCCUCCGCCAUCACAUACUACUCUCAUUGUUUGCUUCGCU